UUCAACCUUUAAUUUUAGCUUCCUCUAUGUUUUUAAUGGUUAAAUCCACCAACUCAUUCACCCAAUUAUACAAAAUUAAAUUCACCAAAUUUGAGAAGUAGACCAAUUUAAAGUGAAUGGUAAAUUAGAGAAGACCAAAUUCCAAACAAAAUCAUUUUCAGUGUGGUUGAUCAUCUCCGAUAUGCCUAUGAUUUCUUUUUGCUCUAUUCAACAACCC
rnacentral:lncRNA from 1 species